AAAUACCCCAAAACACACAUGCCCUUCACAAAGAGAACACAAGACAACACAGGCAAGAGGAGAAAGAGCAAGACUAACAACCUCUCCAAGAACCUUCAGAAGGACAAACAAACAUCUCAACAACAAGAUGAUGUGCUCCAGGUGUUUUCUGCUUAUUCUGGUUAUCUACUUCCUGAUGGACGAGCUUUGUGCUUUCCUCUUACCAGACAGACUGCGAGUGAAAAGGAGCAGUCACAUGUCAGAUCAGGAUCUGUCAUCACACAUUUAUGAGCUCUCAGAUCUGACUGAACUGUUCCCUGGAAAUGAAGGGGAAAUGACUCGGGAUUGGGAUCCCAAUCCGGCCAAGUCUCCUGCUUUCUUCUCCCCAAUGGAACAAAUCAACAUGCAGCAAGCAAACAACAACCGGCGUAAAAACAAGGACAACAGGAGAAGGAUCACGGUUCCUCUGGACCGCAUUGGCAGCUCUCACUUAUCUACUCGAAGCAGAAAGGAGGAGCCUGAAGACUUUAAGGAGUACGACGCAAAGUGAUCAAGCUGAAAUAUUGCAUACUGUUAAAAAGGACUGUUUUAUGUUGUGUAGCUUUGGUCCCUUUUCACUCGAUUUUCUUUUUUUAUUCUUAAGUCAUUGCAUCUCAGGUUUAUAAACUGUGACUUAUUUAUUUGUAUUUAUGUUUUGCAAAUAUUCGCUUCUCGGCUCCCUGUAGCGGGGUGCGAACUGACAGACACUACUGGUGUUGCUGCAAAAAAUAAAUAAAACGUACAUGAAUCAACUAAU
rnacentral:lncRNA from 1 species